CUAUUAUAAAAAGGGAGCCCGUGCAAGCGGGCUGAGAGUGGGCUGCAUUGCCCUGACCUGUGACCUGAUUUGGAUCAUGCCAACGUAGGGAGAUAGCGCUUUUAUCUG
rnacentral:ncRNA from 2 species